rnacentral:rRNA from 1 species
ACGGUUUUUCCGCCUAAAGAGAAGCUUGCGGCUGAUUAGCUUGUUGGUAAGGUAAUGGCUUACCAAGGCGACGAUCAGUAUCUGGUUUGAGAGGACGAUCAGACACACUGGAACUGAGACACGGUCCAGACUCCUACGGGAGGCAGCAGUGGGGAAUUUUCCGCAAUGGGCGAAAGCCUGACGGAGCAAUACCGCGUGAGGGAUGAAUGCCUAUGGGUUGUAAACCUCUUUUUUCAGGGAGGAACAAAAUGACGUGUACCUGAAGAAUAAGCAUCGGCUAACUCCGUGCCAGCAGCCGCGGUAAGACGGAGGAUGCAAGUGUUAUCCGGAAUCACUGGGCGUAAAGCGUCUGUAGGUGGGUUAAUAAGUCAACUGGUAAAUCUUGAGGCUCAACCCUCGAACCCCAGUCGAAACUAUUA